UACGUAGGGAGCAAGCGUUGUUCGGAUUUACUGGGCGUAAAGGGCGCGUAGGCGGCAAUUCAAGUCAGCUGUGAAAUCUCCGGGCUUAACUCGGAACGGUCAGCUGAUACUGCUUUGCUAGAGUGCGGAAGGGGCAAUCGGAAUUCUCGGUGUAGCGGUGAAAUGCGUAGAUAUCAAGAGGAACACCUGAGGUGAAGACGGGUUGCUGGGACAACACUGACGCUGAUGCGCGAAAGCCAGGGGAGCAAACGGG
rnacentral:rRNA from 1 species